rnacentral:tRNA from 1 species
GGAGAGAUGGCUGAGUGGUCGAAAGCGCUCCCCUGCUAAGGGAGUAAACCCCGAAAGGGGUUUCGAGGGUUCGAAUCCCUCUCUCUCCG